CCUACGGGAGGCAGCAGUAGGGAAUCUUGCGCAAUGGGCGAAAGCCUGACGCAGCCAUGCCGCGUGAAUGAUGAAGGUCUUAGGAUUGUAAAAUUCUUUCACCGGGGACGAUAAUGACGGUACCCGGAGAAGAAGCCCCGGCUAACUUCGUGCCAGCAGCCGCGGUAAUACGAAGGGGGCUAGCGUUGCUCGGAAUUACUGGGCGUAAAGGGAGCGUAGGCGGAUAGUUUAGUCAGAGGUGAAAGCCCAGGGCUCAACCUUGGAACUGCCUUUGAUACUGGCUAUCUUGAGUACGGGAGAGGUGAGUGGAACUCCGAGUGUAGAGGUGAAAUUCGUAGAUAUUCGGAAGAACACCAGUGGCGAAGGCGACUCACUGGCCCGUUACUGACGCUGAGGCUCGAAAGCGUGGGGAGCAAACAGGAUUAGAUACCCUGGUAGUCCACGCUGUAAACGAUGAGUGCUAGUUGUCGGCAUGCAUGCAUGUCGGUGACGCAGCUACGACAUAAGUACACUCCGCCGUCGGGAGGUACGGUCGCGAAGAAGUUAAACGUACUAAAUUAGAAGUUAGUUACGGCGUGAGACGUUGCCGACGGACGACGACGAGGGAGGAGG
rnacentral:rRNA from 1 species